rnacentral:lncRNA from 1 species
AGAAAAAGAAAAAGAAAAAAAAAUAAGCAAUAAUUUGGUAUUGAAAUAAGUGAAGUGAGUGACGCAUACGGUGAUACUUUGUAUCGAAGCAUAGAGAUUGAGCAAGAAUAAGACUAGGAGGGAAAAAAAAGGCCACCUAAAUCAAUAUUUAACCAUUCAACUUUUAUCCAAUAUUUCUCGCACACCAACCAACACAACACAAGAGCGGUACUCGAUUGGCUCCGCCUGCGACUAUUUGCUCUCCCCCCUGCCAACUGCCAAGUACCAACACAAGUGCCAGUUUUGUCUCUGGUUAUAUGGCAUCUUGAGACCAAUAUCCCAACAAGUAAAAAGGGUAUUCUCGUCAUUUCACACGUCAUCAAAUCAUAUCACAUAUUGACAUGGGUACGAAAUUUCUUGGAAAUGAUACCAUAAUAAUAAUAAUAAUAAUACAUUCUGUUUCAAAUUCUCUCACAAAGAUUCGACGAGUGGAAACGAAAACAUGGCUUCACAUGUUUGUACAUUGACAUUUACAUCCGUACGGUUGUUGUACAACCAUUCGAUGCAUGCAUGUGUGUGUCGGGACAAAUGUAGAUUGUUUUGUGGAGAACAUUCGCUAAAAUGGAAAUUGAAGGAUGAAUUAACGUGGCUUUCAAAUCAAACUUUUAAGGACAUAAAAUGCGCACCCAUUUUAGUUAUUCGUAUUAAUUACUUAUAUUAAUAGUGAUAACACAUAAAAAAAAAAAAAGGAAAUGUUCUUGACAAAGAGAAUAAUUCUAAAAAUGCUUCAUGGGCAUUGAGUUGGGUAACAAACGUUACAAAGGUGCCAAUGCAACGAAGGCAAACCAGAACUUUAAUGCUAAGAAUUUAUUCCGUUUUCCAAAGUUAGGAAUAAAACAGAAUAAUUGUAAAGAUGAAAGAAAGAAGGGUACACUUAAAGGGACCAUUCUUUAACUUUAAACUUUAUGUAGAAAAAUAAAUUAACAAUUAACAACACAAAAUAGACACAUCUCUAAUCAGCAUAUUUCCACUUGUAAAAAAGCAUGUGGUGUUAAAACUUAAAACCCUACUCCGUAAAAAAGUUAUUCUUCCAAUUACCCUGAAACGUGGUCGAUUUAAAAGAUAUUAAGGUGAACCUUAUUAUUUGAUAAAUGUGAUUAUGAUUUAAAAAUAAUAAUAAUAAUAAAAAGAAUAGAUGAAUGAGUAGACUGGUAAAUUAAAAGGCUGCAAGUGAUGGGCUAAUGAGUCGCUAUCAAGAAAGUGGAAACAAAAUGGUCCUCUGAAAAUCUUAUGGUCCAUUUUUCCAAGAGAAGAGAGACAACAUGUUAACAAAAAACCAACAACUAAAAUUUAAAUAAGUUGAUGAAUUAUUACUUGAAAGUACUGUUAUAUCAGUUGAAAAGCUAAUCAGAUGUUAUAUAUACACCAAAAUAACUGAAACAUUAACAACAUCAAGACAAAUACUAUAACAGACAAUGAAAAUGAAAAGGCUACAACAAGAGAGACCCUCAACAAUGAUGUGGAAUACUUACGAAUAUAUUUAAAUAAAAAAAAAAAGACUUAGUUGGGUAGAAAAUGUCAUUAAUUCCAAAGUUAAGGGUCUCUCAUGUAACAGUAUAAACAUGUAGUAAGUAAGAUACCAACUCUUUACCUGUUUGUCCUUCUUUUUUCCUAUCAAAUGUUGUGGAAUUUGUUUUUUCAAGAUGAAAGGGUAAAAGGGUCAUUUUGUCUUGUUCAAAGUUUUUAAAAAGAAACAGGCUUUAUAUAUACAGAACUUUAUCUAGACAAACAUCUUUACACAUUUUUAGCCACUUUACUCAUACACGAGUUAAUGGAGAAAAAUGGAAAAAAGAAAAAGCCACAAAAAGGUUGUUUAAGCCAAAUUAUUAGCACUUAUCACCAAAACUGUUAUAGAAAAGGGAAUAUCAAUGUAAAAACAUGAAAUUAACAUAAAAACAAAAACAAAGAGUAUAAGAAUUUCUAAAUUUAUAAUUUCAAACUCCUUAUGGCAAAAACAGGCAUCAAAACAUGAGUAAAAGACUCAUUAAGAAGUUUAAAUUACAUACACUUGGGAUUUAUAACUUUAAUUAAUAAGUUAUAAAGAUAAACAUAAUCACGAAUCAGUUUAUACUCACUAAAGGAUUACUAAAGAAGCAGUUUGAUAAAAUGAUGGAAAAACAUAUGAAUCAUAAACAGAAAGGAGGAGUAACAUACCUGUUGGGGACAAAAAGGCAGAUUAAGAGAACCAUUAACAACAAAAUGAACCAUGAAAAGAAUCUGCAUUAUGGUUGCACAAAUGGAAAAAAGUCAAAAAUAGUUCUUGCAGAUGUAAUAAUAUGUACAAAGUUAGGUAGUAAGAGUGUAAGACAUCUUAUCAAAACUUUCACAACCAAUAAAAAGUUUUGUCCCAAAUCGAUUACUAGUCUUUGUUUGAUGAUUUGAUCUAUAAACUUUGUGAUUCUUUUGGGAAUGCUACACUUAAUCAUAACUUUUAUUGUGCACCUUGAACAAACAAGUCAUGUUUUGUAGGGAAAUGUGAGUGGAAGAGAUAGCAUAAAAUUACUGAUAAGCAUAUUGGAAGACCAUUUAAUCACAAAGCCAAGAAAAUAAAGGCUAGUUUAGCAUUAGUAAUGUGCAAUUUUAUUUGCUAAAAUGGUGUACUUUAGAAGGUUAUUGCUUUUGUUGAUGAAAACUGUCUUACCCAAUAGGAACCAAGUCCAUGGAAAACAAUCUCAAGGACUGGAGUUCAUCUUCCCUGUGUCUUCAAGAUCUUUUAUCUGCAACUCCAUACAGAUUCAGAUUCCACAAAGAUAAACAAUUAGGUAAAUAUCAUCAACCAGUUAAAUGUAUAACAAAUACCUAGUGAAUUUCUAUAGAAAUUGAACAAAAACGUGAACCAUACUGUUCUGGAAUUCACACACAUAUAGAUACAAAUAGAUAGAAGUUUACCUGUAAGAUCAUUUGCGAGAGCGUUAGAAGAACCUCCAUUGACAUUAUUAGCCAUAUCAGGCAACCAAAAUCCUAUCGCGAAAACGAUGAUCGUCUUCUUCUUACCGCAAUUUCAAACCAAACCCCCACUAGCUGCAUCGUAAUCAUUCAAAAGCACGGGCACGAUGAUCGAAUCGACUUCAAUUGUAAUGAACAACCGCAGGCAGCUGAGCCAGCUUGUAGAGAGACACUCAUGCCUCCAAUAGGGGUGUACGGAGCCCUCUACCGUUCUCGACCUUGCGUGAGGAAUUUUGCUCUGAGAUGAGUUAUCAAUUCGUAGUAGUAGCACUCGUUUGUAAUUGUCUAUGCCAAUUGGAUUGAAGUUGACAACACUUGAUUGAUCGCUUUUGCUGUCAAAAACUUAUGAAUCCUACAAAAAUUGAUCCACUUUUACUUCAAAUUGGGCCAGUUCAAACAAAUGUAUGUGUUUUUGUUUACUUUUGUGUCUUUGAGACUCCAUGGUUAUGAUAAUUGGAUACCUUGGGUUCAAUUGAAGACGGCACUGUUUCUUGACUCUUGACAGCGAUGCUAAACCCAGAACAACUAACUAUGAGUUUCAA